ensembl:lncRNA
UCGUUACGUGUGACAGAUUUAGUCAGAUAUUGCCUGCAGUCCAGCAUGUGACUCCUACAAAAUUAGUAUCAGCAGGCCAGCCUGGCUAAAAAGGUUGAAUUUCGAGCUACAGGUGUGACCUGCUUAGGCCAUGAUUCAAUUAUCCAAAUGGACAAAGCUGUAGCUUGUACGGUUUGAUAUAUUGUCCGUGCAAACAUUUCAGUGAGCUGCUCCAUUGUUGAUAUACAGAAGAGGGAGCAGAACGGUUAUCUGUUGACUGGCAACAGUGUGGGCUGUAACAUUGGGAUAGCCCAGAAGCAGAUAGUAAAGAACCAGAGAUUGGUUUCAAGGCUUUUGGGUUGCCCUGCUGAUUCUCAGCUGAAUCAAAUUUUGAAAGGUUCACAUAAACUACAAACACAUAUUGUUUUACCUACUGUACCUAUGAAGGAAAUAUGCUCUGAUGCUGUCGUGGUUCUGUUUCUGCUCUUUAUCUCCUCUCUCCACCGGCCUGAGCAACGUGGCCUGGAUCCUCCAGCAGCGUGGUGUCGCCGUAGGCCUCUAGCAGACCAGGGUGGCAAAUUCGGAGCUCCAACCACCAACCAGUCGAAAGCAGCCGCAUGGCCAGAUCUCGGUUUUCAAGGUCAGAGGAAUCACAGCUGUCUGACGUCAAGAGCCUCAAGGGCAGCCGUUCUGCAUGCAACCGUUUAUGUAUGAGCAUAGGUGAAUCAGCUUUAAAGGCAGGACCACCCGUUGGCCUGAGGCUGUGCCACUGACAUCGUUGGCAGCUGUUGAUGACACGGGCAUUUAACGGCACCUGGGUUGCCCGUUUCGGCACCCCUUCGGACAUAUCCUCUGACCGGGGCGUGCAGUUCACGUCUGAGCUGUGGAACACGGUGGCCCAGAGCCUCGGAGCGAAACUCCACCGUACGACUGCAUACCACUGCACUACUGGACAAUGCGAGGCUUUUCGCACCUGUCCCUACUUCCCGUCACGGCCUCCCUCAGUUGCACAUCCCUGCUGGGCUUCAGACGGCUGAAUACGUCUUUAUUCGCCACGACGCUCACAGGGGACCGCUACGCCCGCCCUACGAGGGCCCAUUCCGUGUCUUGGAGACGGGAGACAAACAUUUUGUGAUGGAAAUGGGUGGUAAACCGGAGCGACUCUCCAUUGACCGCCUCAAACCAGCUCAUUUGGACGUUGCUAGGCCCAUUUGAUAAUUAUUUUUUUUAUAUGGUGAAUUCUGGGGGGACGUGUGUAGUGAAUGUGACUUCAUAAUUCACCCUUGUUCUUAGUGUGGUUCAACACACUGUUGUUUCAUGCAGUUAUUUAAGUAAUGUGUUAUACACGUAAGUACAACUGUUCUGGGAUCGCGCCCCCUUUAAAUAUUCUGUUGUUGAGGAAUGAGAGCCCCAUGUUUGUGAGAUUACAGGGCUGCGCCAUAUUUGUUUGUUUGUUCAUUCGUUUUGUCAUGUAAAAAUAAACGAGACACACACUUGUGUACU